GAUGAACGCUGGCGGCGUGCCUAAUACAUGCAAGUCGAGCGAACAGACGAGGAGCUUGCUCCUCUGACGUUAGCGGCGGACGGGUGAGUAACACGUGGAUAACCUACCUAUAAGACUGGGAUAACUUCGGGAAACCGGAGCUAAUACCGGAUAAUAUAUUGAACCGCAUGGUUCAAUAGUGAAAGACGGUUUUGCUGUCACUUAUAGAUGGAUCCGCGCCGCAGUAGCUAGUUGGUAAGGUAACGGCUUACCAAGGCAACGAUGCGUAGCCGGCCUGAGAGGGUGACAGGCCACACUGGGACUGAGACACGGUCCAGACUCCUACGGGAGGCAGCAGUAGGGAAUCUUGCGCAAUGGGCGAAAGCCUGACGGAGCAACGCCGCGUGAGGGAUGAAGGUCUUCGGAUCGUAAAACUCUGUUAUUAGGGAAGAACAAAUGUGUAAGUAACUAUGCACGUCUUGACGGUACCUAAUCAGAAAGCCACGGCUAACUACGUG
rnacentral:rRNA from 1 species